GGUAGCGUGGCCGAGUUGGUCUAAGGCGUUGGAUUUAAGUUCUCCUUGAUUCCCAAUGGGCGCAAGUCCGCGCGAGUUCGAACCUCGCCGCUACCA